rnacentral:rRNA from 1 species
AUUGAACGCUAGCGGGAUGCUUUACACAUGCAAGUCGAACGAGUGGCGGACGGGUGAGUAAUAUAUCGGAACGUGCCCAGUAGCGGGGGCUCACUACUCGAAAGAGUGGCUAAUACCGCCUACUAUUGGAGCGGCCGCUAUCGGAUUAGCUAGUUGGGGGGGUAAAGGCUCACCAAGGCAACGAUCCGUAGCUGGUUUGAGAGGAAGACCAGCAACACGGGGACUGAGACACGGCCCAGACUCCUACGGGAGGCAGCAGUGGGGAAUUUUGGACAAGGGGGGAAACCCUGAUCCAGCCAUCCCGCGUGUAUGAGAAGGCCUUCGGGUUGUAAAGUACUUUUGGCAGAGAAGCGGUAUCUGCAGAAUAAGCACCGGCUAACUACGUGCCAGCCGCCGCGGUAAUUC